rnacentral:piRNA from 1 species
UACUGCUCACCAUAGAAAAGAGAAAGUGCUA